GCUAGAUGAACAGGUGCAUCAGGGUAAAAGAAACUCGUCGCAUUUGUUUCCGCCUCCACCGGGGAUCAAACCCAGAACCUCAGGACUACGAAUCCGAAACACUGUCUACGCAGCUGUCAGGCCCCCCUCAGCUGGUGUUUCAGGAAUUACAAGUAUGUACUGGCAUAGUACCACCAUGCAGGUGUCUGCUGGAAAAGUGAGUUAAGCAGACACAGCUAAUUGUCACAUUGCCUCCAAAGUAUUUAUCUUUAUAUUGUACUGUCUGUUUAUUAGCCAAAUAAAGAAUUAAAAUUUUUAA